rnacentral:lncRNA from 1 species
UAUCAAAGAGAUCUAUCUAUAUAAUAUUUCAACAUUCCUAACAGAAACUUAUUUCAUUUCUCUUAUAAAUUACAGGGCGUAGAAAAGGAAAAUAAGAAAUGAAACAAAUACUACCAUUUGUUUAGAUAUUUUCAAGAUUUCUAUUUCUUAGCUUUUCCUGAUAGAAUGGUGGUGAUGAUGAUGUGAAGAGGCUUUUGACAGCACAGAAAUGAUGGAAUGGAAAGCAUUUGCUGCAAUUCUUGAUUUUAUUUGACCCCUUCUUGGUAAAGGCUUUGUACCCCUAAAACCUUCAAUUGCUGCUUCAGAAGCUCUAUCAAUCUUGUGAUUCAUGAUUUUGAAGCUAAAAUAAUUUAGUGGAGUAUGACUGAAAAUGUUGCAAGUUCUGAAUUGGGAUAAGUUGUUAUG